rnacentral:rRNA from 1 species
ACGGGUGAGUAGCGCGUGGGAACCUGCCUUGGAGUGGGGGAUAACCGAGGGAAACUUCGGCUAAUACCGCAUACGCCCCGGCGUGAGCCGGGGGAAAGAUUGAUCGCUCCAAGAGGGGCCCGCGUCGGAUUAGGUAGUUGGUGGGGUAACGGCCUACCAAGCCGGUGAUCCGUAGCUGGUCUGAGAGGAUGAUCAGCCACACUGGGACUGAGACACGGCCCAGACUCCUACGGGAGGCAGCAGUGGGGAAUAUUGGACAAUGGGCGCAAGCCUGAUCCAGCAAUGCCGCGUGAGUGAUGAAGGCCUUAGGGUUGUAAAGCUCUUUCGCCCGCGACGAUGAUGACGGUAGCGGGAGAAGAAGCCCCGGCUAACUUCGUGCCAGCAGCCGCGG